AUGCCUGGUGCUGUCCCCCAGGGCCAGGGAGGAGUCAGGAGUGGGGGUGAGCCCCAGAAAAACCAGACUGGAGGGUCACAGCUGACCCCAAGCCCAAGGCUUCCUGGAUUCCCUGGCAGAGGAAUGAGCAACAUGAAAGGGAAAUUCCUCCAGGAAAAGAAAACAUUUUUGAGGGUUGUGUUUUUUGUUUUUUGGGUCUUUUUUUUUUUUUUUAAGAUUUUAUUUAUUUAUUUAUUUGACAGACAGAGAUCACAAGCAGGCAGAGAGAGAGGAAGGGAAGCAGGCUCCGUGCUGAGCAGAGAGCCUGCUGCAGGGCUCGAUCCCAGGACCCUGGGAUCAUGACCUGAGCCGAAGGCAGAGGCUUUAACCCACUGAGCCACCCAGGUGCCCCGCAGGUGAAGACAAGUCUUACCCUUUCUGCAGCCUAGCUCUGAAUCUAGAAUUUACUUAUCAAAUGUCUGCCAUGUUCCGUGGCACGUCCCUGCCAGCAUAUCUGUGUGCCCUCUCCCCAGCCAACAUGGUGGAUUCUCAAAGAGGAUCCAUCUUCCUUUAGGGGAGUUGGAUGGCCUGAAUCUCUCCCAGCUUCCUAGCUUGUAGGUUGCUCCAUCGCUCCCUCCCACAGACCAGGACACAGGGGGCGCGGCAUUUUCUCCAGAAGGGCCCCAGUCAUAAUGCACCUUUGUAUGAAGAGGCAACCUUUGCACUGGCUCCAAUUAGUAUUUUCAGAAAUCCGUUUAUCAGAUUAACUAGCUGGCACUGACAUGCAGAACCUGACCCUGGGACAGAGAUAGAGGCAAACUAAGGUGGGGUGGUGAGCAGGUGGCAGAGCAAAGAUCGGGCUGGUGGGGAGCAGCGGGGAGCUGGAUGGGUGCUCUGGGGUAGACGAGGCAGACUGGGGGCAAGACAAGUAAGGGGGCAGGGAUUAAGGCUGGGGCCAUGAAAAUACAUUUCCUGGGACACCCUGGGUAGCUCAGUUGUUGGGCAUCUGCCUUGGGCUCUGGUCAUGAUCCUGGGGUCCUGGGAUCGAGUACCACAUCUGGCUCCUCGGUUGGUGGGGAGCCUGCUUCUCCCUCUCCAACUCCCCCUGCUUGUGUUCCCUCUCUAGCAAAUAAAUAAAUAAAUAAAUCUAAAAAAAAAAGAAAAUACAUUUCCUUUAUUUUACCUAAACGCUUAGAGCCACAGCGUAAGCUAAAAACCAGGAGCAGCAGGAGAAUCUGGCUAGACACCAAGAACAGCCUCAGUCUAUCGUUUUAGGAUUUCAGGUGAUCAUUUCUUUUCUGUCCCCAAUGAUGGCAAUAUCCACAAUUAUACAGCACUUACACCGUGCCAUGGUCUAUGCUUUUUAUUGUGAACUUAAAUCAAUCUAAAAACCAGGGGAGAGAGAUAAAGUAAGUUGCCCAAAUUCCCACAGCCCGACGUGGACAAUGUAGAGUACGGAAUCCAUCAGAACCUGUGCUCAGUCCGCCUGGGUGCUCUCCCCAAAUGCUGGGAGGGCACAGUGAGAUCCUCCCCUCCAGGAUUAGGCAUCCCUUCCCUCCCCCACCAGGGCCUCUGCUCAACCCUUUCACUUUUCCUUUCUGAUUCUAUAGGAGGAAGCAAAAGGGCUAGAAAGCCUGUAGCACUGAGGUGAUUUUUACUUGCCUUCAGGGGCAGUAUAGAGGUGACCAAGAAACAAGCUCUUAAAAAAAUAAGUAAAUAAAAUAAAAGAGAGUGAGAUCCACCCAUUCCCUAAUUGUGUGGUAUUCAAAAGCUCCCUCUGGGGAUGCCUGGGUGGCUCAGUCGGUUAAGCGUCUGCUUGUGGCUCAGGGAUUGAGUCCCGAAUCAGGCUCCUUACUCAGCAGGGACCCUGCUUCACCCUCUGCCUGUGACUCCUUCUGCUUGUGCUCCCCCACUCUCUGAUAAAUAAAUAAAUAAAUAAAUAAAUAAAUAAAUAAAUAAAAUCUUCGGGCGGGGGGGAAGCUCCCUCCAUCUCUCUAUCUGCCCCCCAAUUGCUGAGUUUAAUGUAGCCUUGCAAAUAACCUCUAAGCACCUCCUGAAAUUGAGACAAGUUCGGGCAUUUAAAAAAUAUUUAUUGUAGGGACUUCUGGGUGGCUCAGUUGGUUAAGCAUCCGACUCUUGGUUUCACCUCAGCUUGUGAGCUCAGGGGUCCUGGGAUCGAGCCUUGCAUCAGGCUCCACACUCAGUGGGGAGUCUUCUCCCCACCACCCUCACUCUCGCUUCCUCUGCCCCUCCCCCCAUCUUGUGUGCACACACACUCUCUCUCAAAUAAAUAAAUAAACUAACUAACCAACUCACUAACUUACUGAAUACCUACUGUGUGCCAAGCACUGGUGUAAGUGCCAGAAUAAUUUUUUUUGGCUGAAAGGAUUAUUAUUAUUACUUUUUAAAGAUUUUAUUUAUUUACUUGUCAGAGAGAGAGCGCACGUGUGGGCGCACACAAGCAGAGGGUGUGGCAGGCAGGGAGAGAAGCAGGCUCCCCACUGAGCAGGGAGCCAGAUGUGGGGAUCAAUACCAGGACCAUGGGAUCAUGACCUGAGGUGAGGGCAGAUGCCCAACUGACUAAGCCACCCAGGCGCCCCAGCUGAAAGGUUUAUUACAGUCAACAAGAUGGCAGAACAAUUUGAGGAUCUCCUCAAGCAGAGAUGGAACACAUGUGACUAUGGAGGUGACUCCCUUCCCCUCCUGGGCCCAGGUCUUCCCAAGAAGAGCAGCCAUAGGAACAGGUCGGGAGUGGCUGAUGUCAAAGAUGUCUCUGAAGUAAAAGAUGCUUAAUGGGGGCUUUGGGGUCCCAGAGACUGUGUCACCACAAGAUGUAAGAGGCCUAGAUCCCUGUGUCACCAGUUGGAGGUUGUGAAGUGAGGAAAAGCUGUCUGAUUUGUUGUAACCCUCUUACAAUACAAUCCGUGGUAUUGGGAGAAUGACAGGUGACAGUGCUGGUAUGUUAUGUUUGGUGGAGCUGGGGAAAUGGGCUUCCCCCAGUCUCAGGCUGACCAAUUGGUCAGCCUCAUCCCCAUAGGGUCCAUCUCUUCUGCAGGGUCUCAAAGCAUCUUGUUUGAAUUUCUAUAAUGGCACUUCUACUGGAUGUUCUGGGGUCAGGCUUCUAUUGGGUGGUGAGCUCCUGAAGGGUAGGGCUUCAUGUCAGUCCAUCUCUCAGGUGCUCAAGAAAAUCAGAUGAUUCCAUGGGGAGAGAGGAGGCACAAAGUAGCUUUGGACAGAACAUCUAAAUGGAUGGUGAGAUACCCAUGGGGUCCUACUCCACUAGCAUUUUAUUUAUUUAUUUUUAAAAAAAUUUUUUAAGAUUUUAUUUAUUUAUUUGACAGAGAGAUCAUAAGUAGGCAGAGAGGCAGGCAGAGAGAGAGAGAGGAGGAAGCAGGCUCCCCGCUGAGCGGAGACCCUGACACGGAACUCGAUCCCAGGACCCUGAGAUCAUGACCUGAGCUGAAGGCAGCGGCUUAACCCACUGAGCCACCCAGGCGCCCCUCCACUAGCAUUUUAGAUAAGGGCUUCAAGCUCAGGUAAGACAUUACAGGUGACUUAGGCCAUCCGAAAAGUGCCAAUAUUGAAAACUCUAACAGCAGAAGAAAUCCUGCAGAUCAAGACCACGGUGGCUAGGCACUGUGCUGAGCUCUUUUCAUCGCUAUAUUUUAAAAUUUUCUUUCUUUCUUUUUUUAGGAGCAGAGGAAGAGGAAGAGAGAGAAUCCCAAGCAGACUGCCCGCUGAGCUCAGAGCCCCAUGCAGGGCUCGAUAUCACGACCCCAAGAUCAUUACCUGAGCAAGAACCAAGAGUCAGAUGUUCAACUGAUUGAGCCACCCAGGUGCCCGUCACCAUUGUUUUACUCCAUUCUCAGAGCAACCCCAGGAAGGAAGCAGAGACUCUAGUUAUAUAUUUGGUCACCUACUGGUAAGUUGAGGAGCCAGAACUCAGAUAAAAGCAACAGCGACACAAUGAACAUAAUCAUAAACACAGAGACAUUGAGUUAGUAUUUAUUGAAUACUUAGGAUGCCCUAGAUAAUUUAGUAACUUUUUCUUAGUACUUUUUUAAAAAAAGAUUUUAUUUAUUUAUUUGACAGAGAGAGAGAAGAGGAAGCAGGCUCCCCACUGAGCAGAGAGCCUGAUACAGGGCUCAAUCCCAGGACUCUGGGAUCAUGACCUGAGCCGAAGGCAGAGGCUUAACCCACUGAGACACCCAGGUGCCCAGU
rnacentral:lncRNA from 1 species